GGCAGUUGUAGCCUAGUGGUUAAGGUACUGGACUAGUAAUCCAAAGGCCGCUGGUUCAAGCCCCACCACUGCCA